CCUACGGGAGGCAGCAGUGAGGAAUAUUGGUCAAUGGACGAGAGUCUGAACCAGCCAAGUAGCGUGAAGGAUGACUGCCCUAUGGGUUGUAAACUUCUUUUAUAAAGGAAUAAAACGAGGCACGUGUGCCUUUUUGCAUGUACUUUAUGAAUAAGGAUCGGAUAACUCCGUGCCAGCAGCCGCGGUAAUACGGAGGAUCCGAGCGUUAUCCGGAUUUCUUGGGUUUAAAGGGAGCGUAGAUGGGUUGUUAAGUCAGUUGUGAAAGUUUGCGGCUCAACCGUAAAAUUGCAAUUGAUACUGGCAGUCUUGAGUACAGUUGAGGUAAGCGGAAUUCGUGGUGUAGCGGUGAAAUGCUUAGAUAUCACGAAGAACCCCGAUUGCGAAGGCAGCUUACUAAACUGUGACUGACAUUGAUGCUCGAAAGUGUGGGUAUCAAACAGGAUUAGAUACCCGUGUAGUC
rnacentral:rRNA from 1 species